AUGAUACGUAGCCGACCUGAGAGGGUAAUCGGCCACAUUGGGACUGAGACACGGCCCAAACUCCUACGGGAGGCAGCAGUAGGGAAUCUUCCACAAUGGACGAAAGUCUGAUGGAGCAACGCCGCGUGAGUGAAGAAGGGUUUCGGCUCGUAAAACUCUGUUGUUAAAGAAGAACAUAUCUGAGAGUAAAAACAGAUGCUAAUACCGCAUAACAACUUGGACCGCAUGGUCCGAGCUUGAAAGAUGGCUUUGGCUAUCACUUUUGGAUGGUCCCGCGGCGUAUUAGCUAGAUGGUGGGGUAACGGCUCACCAUGGCAAUGAUACGUAGCCGACCUGAGAGGGUAAUCGGCCACAUUGGGACUGAGACACGGCCCAAACUCCUACGGGAGGCAGCAGUAGGGAAUCUUCCACAAUGGACGAAAGUCUGAUGGAGCAACGCCGCGUGAGUGAAGAAGGGUUUCGGCUCGUAAAACUCUGUUGUUAAAGAAGAACAUAUCUGAGAGUAACUGUUCAGGUAUUGACGGUAUUUAACCAGAAAGCCACGGCUAACUACGUGCCAGCAGCCGCGGUAAUACGUAGGUGGCAAGCGUUGUCCGGAUUUAUUGGGCGUAAAGCGAGCGCAGGCGGUUUUUUAAGUCUGAUGUGAAAGCCUUCGGCUCAACCGAAGAAGUGCAUCGGAAACUGGGAAACUUGAGUGCAGAAGAGGACAGUGGAACUCCAUGUGUAGCGGUGAAAUGCGUAGAUAUAUGGAAGAACACCAGUGGCGAAGGCGGCUGUCUGGUCUGUAACUGACGCUGAGGCUCGAAAGUAUGGGUAGCAAACAGGAUUAGAUACCCUGGUAGUCCAUACCGUAAACGAUGAAUGCUAAGUGUUGGAGGGUUUCCGCCCUUCAGUGCUGCAGCUAACGCAUUAAGCAUUCCGCCUGGGGAGUACGGCCGCAAGGCUGAAACUCAAAGGAAUUGACGGGGGCCCGCACAAGCGGUGGAGCAUGUGGUUUAAUUCGAAGCUACGCGAAGAACCUUACCAGGUCUUGACAUACUAUGCAAAUCUAAGAGAUUAGACGUUCCCUUCGGGGACAUGGAUACAGGUGGUGCAUGGUUGUCGUCAGCUCGUGUCGUGAGAUGUUGGGUUAAGUCCCGCAACGAGCGCAACCCUUAUUAUCAGUUGCCAGCAUUAAGUUGGGCACUCUGGUGAGACUGCCGGUGACAAACCGGAGGAAGGUGGGGAUGACGUCAAAUCAUCAUGCCCCGACAGUGGAACUCCAUGUGUAGCGGUGAAAUGCGUAGAUAUAUGGAAGAACACCAGUGGCGAAGGCGGCUGUCUGGUCUGUAACUGACGCUGAGGCUCGAAAGUAUGGGUAGCAAACAGGAUUAGAUACCCUGGUAGUCCAUACCGUAAACGAUGAAUGCUAAGUGUUGGAGGGUUUCCGCCCUUCAGUGCUGCAGCUAACGCAUUAAGCAUUCCGCCUGGGGCGUACUGCCGCAAGGCUGAAACUCAAAGGAAUUGACGGGGGCCGGCACACUCGGUGGAGCAUGUGGUUUAAUUCGAAGCUACGCGAAGAACCUUACCAGGU
rnacentral:rRNA from 2 species